ACCAGAGCUUUCAGUGGAGAUGCCACACGCCUGCUGAAGAGGUGUCUGGAGCAAAAUUGAAUACUAAAAAUUAUUUGAUGAAAUAAUUGGUUAAGAACCUACUCAUGGGUGCACAAGAGGUGGUCGAGCCAUACUCGGGCCCAUGUGCAGUCCAUGUGGAUUCUAGUAUCCACUAAGAAAUUAGUGUAAUUCCUCAAAUUGAAGGUAG
rnacentral:lncRNA from 1 species